UGUUAAAGUUUUCAUACAUUUAUAUUGUUAAAACUGGAAUGUCUGACGGAAUAAUAAGACAAUUACAUGUGGCGUACCACAUACACCUCAUGUUGACAUAUUGGGGUCAGUUUUUAUUAGUAGAAAUGGAUGAAACUUUUAAUA
rfam:Gossypium hirsutum cultivar TM-1 chromosome 5, whole genome shotgun sequence